AUGUGGUAAUGACGCGUGUGUGGUGACGUCAUUGGUCGAGCGCGAGGCGAGCAGCUUUUCAGGUAUCUUAUGAUUCUCAUAAACGCUGCUGAAGAGCUCAGACCGGCUUUACUGAAGAUGUUUAUAUACUUUUCCACAAAGUACAUCAAGAAGCUGUGUACAGGUGAAGUUGAACUAGAAGAAGACCUGUUUCUAUUUUAAAAACAUGUCGGGGUGACGAAUGACAACGAAUGGCUUUGCAGGAGAAGUGUAAAGAGUGGAUGAAGAGCAGGUGAUGUUUGCACAGGAGAUGUUGUAUGGAGGCUAAGGGCUUGUCAGAGUCUGAAAGCUCAGCAGACUUGAAGCUGGAAUCCAUUUAUUCCCCAGACCAGACCUAAUUACCCCACACACCUCUCUCUCUCUCUCUCUCUCUCUCGUGCCGCCACAGGUACGAGUCGCCUUCAUCACGGCCUGAGCCUUUCUGCACCCAACCAAUAGGAAAAGAUUAAUUGUUUGCUUGCUUUUGUCUCUCCAGGGACACAGGUCUCUUAAUAAAGAAAAAUAAUUCUCCCCCGUAGCCGAUUGGGCUUAUUUCCCCAAAAUGUGUGUGAACGCGUGUUUGGGGGUCGGGGGGUUUUGUUCUUGUUAGCGAUUUCUGCCUUCAGAGCAAGAGAAAUACGGCAGAAAACAAACGUAAAGGAAAAUUUAUGAGCGUCGCACCGGCAUCGGGCACGAGUUGUAUCAUUGUUUGUAGCAUAAUUUGCUUUUAAUUCCUCAUUAUUUAAGGGGUGUACGGGAAACAAAAGGAGUCUGUUAAUUGACCAUCACAGAGUUUGCUGAGUGAACACAUCACACUCGUAAACAACACAUUAAUGACAAACGGUCAGGACGCUGAACACUGAGGUCAAUAACAUGCACACUUAAAUGCUAAUGCACUGUAACGUGUCACACGAGAGACAAAAUUAUUCACACACUAAUGAUUCAACACUAAACAAACACACUAAGGUUGCUUCGUCAGCUAGUAGUAAUGUUUGAUCUGCGUGUCGGCCAUCGAAGGCCUUGCAUUUGGAUUAAAGUCGAGAUAUUUUUUUGUUUAGCAGCCUUUUGUUGUUUGCAGUUUGCGUCUGUGCGUUCUGAAAGUGUUCAAGUGUGUAACGGUGCAGAUUCGCUUUAUUAGCGCAAUCCGGCUCUUUCUCUCCGGUCGCCGUGUGGAUGGGCAGUGAUAAAUGCCGUCGUGCUCAGUUGAUGCGAUUCAUUUGUCAACAGCCAGAAAAAGGUUAAUCAGUAUUCUCCAUCCUGGUUAAGGCCCGGCGUCUACUCACCGCUAGUAAUUGUGGCUGUAUUAGGCUCAUCGGGCCCCUGCGGCCGGCGACCUGCAGAAAAUGUCCCGCGAUCGGGCCCGGAUCCUAUUUCUCUUAAUCUGCUGGAAAUAAUAACGCAGCAAUGACAAUAAGAUACAGAGCGAAUUGAACGGUAAACACAAAUGACGUCAGCUGGCUUUCAUAAUUUAUACUGCGAGUAUUUCAUACAUAGACCCGAAUGACCAUGGGAAACGCUAGAAGAAAUCAAUGGAAAUUCAUAUUUCAUAAGACCAUAAUUGCGUUUGAAAGUGUGCGGCGGUCAUUUGUUUGGUAGGCCGAGCUGACAGCAUCAUACAUUCCGGCCCUUCGAUCUCAAACCCCUGGCGUCCGUUUUUACUGCCUCGGCUGAGAAAAUAAGGAGUUUGUUGUCAAGAGCGCGGUGCUUUUUUUAACACUUGACAACAUUCUAUCAUCUGUGAAGUUAUCGAUUUGCCAGCGUUUUAACCAUCAAACUGGAUCUGUUUGAGUGACUCUGGUUUUUAAACAAUUUCUCUGACAGGCGAGGCGUCACAGCAAUUGCCCCGCUUUUAAAGACACUAUUUCAAUUUGUGAGAGGCCUUCAAGUGAAGCGUCGGGCCCCUGCGAACGAGUACUGGACCACCGGAGGGCCCCUGCGGCGGACAGAGUUGUCACGGUACGGCGAGGUAAAAAAUGGAGCGGCUCGCCUUUAUGGAUUGCUGAGUUCACGGCUGGUGAGAGAAACGAAGCUUUUGAGUUGUGAUGUUGGCACGUGGAUUUGCAUGAUCGGCUAUAAAACACUCCCGCGCGUCACAGGAGAGGCUAAUCGAUCGUCCGUCACCUGGCCAUCAGCUUCACUCCUAGCAUUCAAUUUUUUUUCUGCCCGUUUUGCAUAUGCUAUCGACCACGAGCGGGUAAAUGAGCAGAACGCGUGGAGAGCAGAGGAUGAAUUGUUUACUCGCAUAAAAAUAACCUUUCAAUAGUGGAAGAUGCAUGACGCGGCGCGCGGCCGAUCUGCUGCACCAAGCACGUGGCAUUCAGCUGCUAUUGAUCCCCAAGUCCAUCCCAAACCCAUCGUGAACAGAGAGAGAGAGAGAGAGAGAGACGAUAGAGAUCAGAUCAGCAUCUCUAACACUUCAUAAACAUCAUCUGAAAGAACAAACAAACCCAACAAAACAUCAGCUUGAAAGGCAGGUGCGUGCACUCAUCGCGUGCUUAUCAUCAUCUUCUCUAUUAACUGAGACUUUGUGUAAUAGAAAAUAAAUACUAUUAAAUAUAAUUGUUUGAUAUUUACAUAUGUUCUCUUUUUUUAUUACAGGUACAUCAUUUUGCCCCAAACCAGACUGUUGCCAUUUUCACAAGUAAUGAUAGUUACAUUUUUUGCUUUUUUAACAAUGUGCAGCAAUAUUUACCAGCUGUAAUUAAAAGUGAUCAUCGAGAUAUGACUAGAUAUGUUUUUGGCAGCAUCAUCAGGACAAAUAUAUACAGUAUAUAGUGAAUAUUCAAUAUGUCACACAGCUGCAUUAUUAACCCGGACCAAAGUGAAUCUCGAAUGGUGCGUUCAUCGUUAACGUGACCGAAUGGAAAUGAUCAUACGGUUAUCCGGCUAUAAUGAGGCACUGAUGCCACGUUCAGGUCAUCCGUGUUUGGGCUUUCAUUGUUUCAGGGUUGAUCUCUCUUCACGGCGGUUCUCCUGACGCUCCGGCCUUCAGCGCUAAUGAGUUUCAGAGGGAGCUGCUCCUCACUUCACAUCUGAAAGAAGAGGAGAGCUCACAUUAACCAGACAAAUACUGAGAGAACUGCUGCAGCUUUUAUUCUGGAGAGGCAUCAUCAGGUCUUCUGCGCUCAGACACAGCAAUCUGUUUUAAUUUACCCCAGACGAAACUUAGAAGCAGAUCUCGCUCCCGCUCUGAGAUGCUCUUCUGUGGCCAGUUUAGUUAUUGUAUUAGUGAUGUUGGGUUUAUUCAUUGACUUGGUGGUAGUUACAGUGGAGUUAAAGGUGCCAAAGAAUGCAUGUAGUCUGUUAAAUUGUUCUCUGAUAUCUACAUAGAAGGUUUGUGGCUUUAUUAAGUGUGAAAAUGAUCCAGAGUCAGUUUUUCAUGUCCGUCUAGGAUUUGUCUUUAUAAUGAAAUGGUCUAUUAUUACCUUAUUUGAAAGGGUCAUGAAUAAUAAUGUUGAGCUCUGCUCUGAUUGGUUCUGACAGUAGCUCUGUGUGUGUGUAAACUGAUCUUAUGUUUGAGUCUGUAUCAGAUUUUGAGGAAUAAUUAAUUGUUUGGAGAUUGUUAAUGGACGUUUCUGAGUGAUAAGUUUGUGUUUAUUCAGUAUGGACCUGCAAAACGUAACUGAAACGUCAAUACUAGAACUUCAGACUAAACACUAGCGUUAACUAGCAUAUAGAGCUAACUCAGCAGUCACAACUUUGUUUUUAUCAUUGUAACAACAUUGUUCUUAAUUUAAUGUUGGAGGUGUAUAUCUGGACUGUAACGUCACAGUU